AUGGGUGCGUUGAGACAAGAGACAGCCCCUCCCAUGACCCCUCCCCACCUCUGAGCCCUGAAGGUGGUCUGGGGUCUCCUUGGAACCCCUCUCCUUGGGUCCUGCCCUUGUGUGAAGACACCAUCAGUUUUGAACCUGUCCUCAGCGCCCGGGCCUUGUGGGUGUUUCUAGUGCUUUGCCCAAGCCGAGGGUGCUGUCCUGGGCAACCCAGUCCACGCCAUUUCCUGCCUGCGUGGUGGAGUCAGUUCCUUGCUUUCCUAGAAGCGAGUUUGUUUGGUCAAAGGGCAUGCGCAUUUGUGGUUUUGGGAGAUGCAGCCCAAAUCAUUACCAGUGAAAAUCUUGCCAGUGAAGGAGAGCCUGGCAGUGAAAUGCUUACUAUCCAGGGACCCCCCUGGCGGUGAACUGGAGCUUCUAAACUUUCUGAUGUGAAGCCUUGUCCUGAAGGGUCUGAUCCCUCUCACGGCCCAAAGAAGGAAAUGAAACCUACCCUCUCCGGCCUGCCUCCUUCUACCACUGGUGACUCAUCAGAGCCCGACCCUGUGGCAGGCAGGUCUGUGUCAUGAAGGACAAAGUCCAGACUGUACAUGACCCGGCCUCUGACGACAGCUUGAGGUCACUUCCUCUCCUGCUUUACACAUCAGCCAGCAGAAACCCUUGCAGUCCUUCGAAUCAAACCGUGUUUGCUCACGUUCGCGCUGGGACACCUCUUCCCUGUGACCCUGGCGGUGGUCAUUCACACUUCAGUUCACCGGCCGAGCCAGCCCAGCUCCCCCCUCCUCCCGAAAGCCUUCUUGGUUCCCCAUGCCGGGCAGUCCCCCCUCUGGUGUCCCUGAGCCCUCCCUAGGCUUCCCCGGCCCGGCCCCGCCCACUCUGGGUUGUCACUACUUGGGGAGGGUUCUGUUUCCCCCACUGGACGGCGAGCCCCGGGAGGGCAGGGCUGUGGCUGCUGUGCUCAGCCCUGGGUCCCCAGUAUCGCCCAGCAGAGAGCUCUACACAGACGGGGGGCCAGAGGGAGGCAUGUUGAACGAAUGAAUACAGGAGUGCACGAAUGAAUGGCUUUGGCAAUGAGUUGAUCUCCGAUUAUCGUCUGUUAGGCCCCUUUCCGACGGCAGCACAUACACUUCUGUUUUCUGUCGAUACUGGAAUUUAGAGGAAAAUUACUCAUUAAGUUCUGUGUGUGUCUCUAUCUGUGUGAGAGAGACAGAGAGCGAGCGAGCUUGAGAGCUUGAAGAGAGUCUGAGGAAAGAGCUGGGGGGGGGGGUUGUGGGAGGCGGGGAGGGCUGAAGACGCACACAAGGAGUGGGCUGGAGGUUUGGAUUUUGGAGAUGGAGUCCGUGAACUCUGUGAGGGCAGAGGCCACGUCUGUCCUGUUCCUGCCUCUAGCACAGAGCCCGCCACGCAGGAGGUGCCCAGUGAAUAUUCGUUGGGCGAACGAAGGAACCAGGUGUUGUUCAAGUCGCCUGGGAAUCUCGUGUGCCUCUGUCAUUGCGGAUCGCAGUGUAUCCGGGGCCGGUGUGGAACCAGAAGUAAGUUCUUCCGGUCCCCUUCAGGGAGGAGAGUCUGACUCACUUCUGAUAAGCAUGGGAAGCCAAUAUGGGACUGUGGUCACCCCUCUAUUCCAGGCUCCCAGAGACAUCAAUACUCCCUACAGGUCCUUCACCCUGGAGAGCUUGGGUGGGUCCUCGGAACUCUCGGCUCACCACUUACAGUAGCUGCUGCUGGUCUGGCAAACGUGGGGGUCAAGGAGAAGUGGAUGCUGGUGGAAGGGAGGUGAAAAACAUGAGUUGUGGAGAGGAACUGGGGCCAGAGGUUACAGCUGGAAAUCCCAUCUCCCCUGGACCGCUUCAUCCUUCUUGUGCUCUUGCCUGUGGUCCUCGAGCAUGGGGCAGCAGAGAUGGCUGCCCGGAUGUCUGGGAUGCCUGGAUGGAGGAGGUAAAUCCCAGGGUUUCUUCGUUGUUGAGUUUUGUUUCGUUUUCGUUUUUGUUUUUGUCUUCCACCUGGAUACAAAACGUGUGAUGCCCACACAGUCACAGAAUAAAGCAGAACGGGUUCAGGA